rnacentral:tRNA from 1 species
GGGCUUGUGGUUUAGUGGUAUAAUUUUCCCUUAGCAUCCAUCCAGGUCUAAUCCUAGAUAACAGCGUGGGAAAGGUCCUGGGUUCGAUUCCCAGCAAGUCCA